CUCAGGACCCGGGGGGUAUCAUUGCAAAAUGUUUUCUUCGCUUUUUCCUCUGCCUUGAAUUCAAAGCAUGACCUCUACCAGCGGAAUUCAAUCAGAUGCCUCCUGCAAGGUUGUUUUAAAGUAAAGGGCCCAGUAAUUCCAGAAAAGAUCUUGAAAGCCAAUCCCAGCUCUGAGCCUCUCUAAAGUCUCCGAUCACAGAGCUUUCUCCGAAAAGGAAACACCAGAAGAGAGAAGCUAAGAAAACAGCUCAUGGACGCACAGAUAAGGCCUGGAGGGACCUUGGAUAGAGUGACGGAGCUUGUGAUGCUGAACUUAGCCGUGCCACGGCGAAGCUGGGGAGGAAAGCAGCCAUUUCAUUCAUCCGCUAAUUCGGCCAAGACAGAUUGAGGGCUUACUUCUCUUUUAGGCUUACUCCUCCUUAUCAUUCAAGGGUCACCCUCAAUGUCACUUCCUUAGGGAAACCUUUGACCUCUGAGACUAGGCCAGGUCCCCAGGUUAUGCUCCCCUGAAGCACCCUGCACUUCCGUUUUCACAGAGCUCUUUGCUCUGAAAGCAAAUGGCUCAGUAUCUGUUUUCCCUCCAUCACUGUAAUGUGACGGGGCAGGAGCCUCGCCUGUCUUUACUACCGUAUCGCAGCGCCUAACAUAGAGAAGGUGCUCGCUAAGUACAUGAACCUGUGCCAGGUGCUGAGGUCUCCAGGAAAAACUGGCCGAAAGUCUGCCCUCAAGGAGUUUAUGCAAACAUUAAAAACCCAUGCUUAACGCAGUAUGACAGGAGUAACUACAAAUUGCGACGGCCACACAAUUGUAUUCUACACACACUUCCUCACUUCGUUCCCGACAAAAUCUAAAAAGAACAAA